rnacentral:tRNA from 1 species
GGGCCGUUAGCUCAAUUGGUAGAGCGCGUGCAUGGCAUGCACGAGGCAACCGGUUCGAAACCGGUACGGUCCACUA